GGUGCAGGAUGAUCCCGCGGCCUAUCAUCUUGUUGGUGAGGUAACGGCUCACCAAGGCGACGACGGGUAGCCGGCCUGAGAGGGCGACCGGCCACACUGGGACUGAGACACGGCCCAGACUCCUACGGGAGGCAGCAGUGGGGAAUAUUGCACAAUGGGCGAAAGCCUGAUGCAGCGACGCCGCGUGAGGGAUGACGGCCUUCGGGUUGUAAACCUCUUUCAGCAGGGAAGAAGCGAAAGUGACGGUACCUGCAGAAGAAGCGUCGGUUAACUACGUGCCAGCAGCCGCGGUAAUACGUAGGGCGCAAGCGUUGUCCGGAAUUAUUGGGCGUAAAGAGCUCGUAGGGGCUUGUCACGACGGUUGUGAAAGCCCGGGGCUUAUCCCCGGCUCUGCAUUCGAUACGGGCUGGCUAGAGCUCGGUACGAGACAUCCUAAUUUCCUGGUGUCGCCCCAGAAAUGCCCGAAAUAUCAGUGACGACACUACGGAGUACCAACGCGUGUCUGCUGCGUACGAUAGCUGA
rnacentral:rRNA from 1 species